AAAAGAGAAGAGGAGUUAAAUGAGUAGCCAAUAAUAGACAGUGUGGCACAGCUGAUCUCUGGCACAGCUGAUGCUCGCCACUAUCCCUUCUGCUGCUCUGCAUCCCAGCCACAUAACACGCAACAGCUGACCACACACCGGGGCUUGGCUGGCGGGAGUGUGUGAGGAGCAUGACACAGUGACCAAGUAAUGCUACCUGGAAACCAUCACCACUAUAGUUAUGGGUUUUGGCAUAGUAACUCGGCACCAGAACAACACCCUGACCCCAUCCCUGGGAGUUGUCACGCCGCCACAGACCGGUGACAAACCCAUCAGCUCAGGAGGGGAGAGUGUUAUCCCUAGCCCUUCUGGACCAGUCUCUGCCCCAGAGACGGGGAGCACCCGCCUUGCCAUGCCGCUCAAGGAGGACAGCAGGGAGUUUGUGUGUGGAUGGGGAGCUGCAUUCAUCAACAUUACAGUGACUUUUCCCAUGAAUAAGGUCAUGUUUCGACAGAUGCUGCAUGGCAUAUCCUCAACCAGUGCCCUGAAGCAGCUCAGGAGAGAAGGCUUGAAAAACUUAUACAGAGGAAUUUUUCCUCCCCUGUGUCAAAAAACCAUUUCAACUUCCAUCAUGUUUGGCAUGUACGACCAAUAUGGAAAGCUUCUCACCUACCACUAUCCUGAGUUGUCUAAAGGUACAACACUUGCAUUGGCUGCGACCCUUGCAGGCUGCACAGAGGCAUUGCUGUGUCCAUUUGAGCGAAUCCAGACAGUCUUGCAAGACAAAAAAUUCCAUGGCCAUUAUAAGAACAGUCUUCAUGUAACAAAAGACUUUUGGAAGUUUGGUAUGAAGGAGUACUACCGUGGAAUGGUGUCCAUUCUUCUGCGCAAUGGGCCCAGUAAUGUUCUUUUCUUUGGUCUUCGGACAAAAGUGAAAGAAUACCUCCCAGAUACAGGAGAGUCAUGGGGAGGAAACUUCCUCACCGACUUUGUGUCUGGAGCAUUCCUUGGGGCAUUCAUCUCCACUGUCAUGUAUCCUAUCAAUGUAAUCAAGGCUCAUCAACAAUGUCAAGUGGGUGGGCCAUUCCAGUCCAUGCGUCAAACAUUCUGGGAUGUGUACAGAUCUCGGGGGAGUCGCAUCAGUCGUCUGUUCAGUGGUGCCCAUGUGAAUUAUUCUCGUGCUCUUGUAUCAUGGGGAAUCAUCAAUGCUUCCUAUGAAGUUCUCCAAAGACUUCUGUACAGUUAACAACCAUUUAGUAACUGUGUGUGAUGGUAGUGAGUCAGACAAGACUGGUGAAAAUUGGAGAAUCAAAGAAAAGUGGAGCAGUAUUGGAUGACAUUUACCUACCAUCCUUGACUGUCAUGGUUUAAGGAAGCUGAUGUCUUCAAACACAUUGUAACAAACAUGGAGCACUAAAGUCCCACUUGCAGUGAGGUACACUCAGUUCAUUCCCAGCAUGACUGCCUAUGAAAUACUGGACUGGUGUGUUUCUAGAAACAGUGAGUGAUGGCAUCUAAAUGACUUCAAAUAAUAAAACACCCACACUUAUUUUUUCUUUUUAAGACUGCUCAUCUAAGAAAAGAAGAAAAAAUCUAACAAAGAGAAAUGUAAAACCAUUGCAAUACUAAUGUAAUGCCACCAUGGUUAUUCAUAGAAACAGUGAGAAACUAGCAGGAUGAAUAAUUACUUAAGAGAGGCUUUUGCUGGCCAGGAAUGGAAAUCCCGAUCAGGAGAGUGUUAAAGCCAUAGAUGUGAGGACCAUGAUGAUCAUGACUCAUGAUCAUAUUGGAGACUUGUGCUCCUGGUCUGUUUGCUAAUGGGAAGAAAGAUUACACGCAAGUGUGUUGACAUUAUAGGGCACAAAGGAUCUGGGAGAAUGAACUUGCACCAAGGACUCCAAAGAAUAUGCAUUUAGGCAAUAGUCUUUUACAUUGUACUACUGUGGAUAAUUCUCAGCAUUGCAUCUAUUUAUCAUAAUGCUCUACAUUGGCACUUUUCUUCAUUCAAAAGUAUUGGCCCUGCAUGCUACACAUACAAAAAAAUGUUACAUCUUACAGAGUUUUUGGAUACAGUUAACCUGUUAUUUACACUUGGUUCAUAACAAUAGAACAGGUAUCUUGUUCUUGUGUGUUGUAUGGUGUAUUUAACUGUUCUAAGCUUGAAAUCAUGGAACUGAAGGGCAGGAAAAUAAUAUAAAUAAAAAAUAAAAAGAUAGCAUCACUGCUGUGUGUACCACCAUAAGCAACCAUUGAAUAUACAAGUUGUAAAUGAAUUUUUUAUUUAGAAGUUCAGUUGCAAGAAAACAUACACAUACAGAUUUUGCAGGAACCUGGUGUAUGUGCAGUGUAGUGUUGUGUGUUCAGACUUUUAAUGAAGAUUUUUAAACAAAACAAAAGUACAUAUAUUGUUCAUCUUCCUUACAUGUAUGCCAUUUUAUGGCAGAAAGAUGAAUGAAAGAAACACUUGUCUUCCGUAACACUUGAGCCUUAAGAGAAAAGCUCUUCCAUUUAAAUAUUAUCUCUGCUUUAGGCUGAACAACUUGACAAAUUAAAUACCUGGGUAAUUAUUUAAUCUUGUGUUGUCUCUAUUGCAUGUUACAAAUUUACAGCAUAACUGGUCAAUCAGUAAGCAGAUGUGUGUAGAGAUAAAGAAUGAGGUAGAACCCGUGAAUCCAUUACACAUUUAUGUAUCACAAGCAUAUGUGCUUUCAACUUUUACUUUCUCCAACAUGAAAAGUGCAGGUCAUCACUGUCCUUGUUAGCAAUAUAAUUCUGAAGGCUCAUCAUCACAUAUGCUCCAGUAGACUGUAUAGAAAUCUUGUGAGACACCAGCUGUGUUUUGCUUAUGAUUUGUAAAUAGCUGUACAUUUUUAAAUAUUAUUCUCUUAUGUUAUUUUAAUGAAUAUACUUAACAUGAUAAA